rnacentral:rRNA from 1 species
GUUGCGAACGGGUGAGUAACGCGUAGGUAACCUGCCUGGUAGCGGGGGAUAACUAUUGGAAACGAUAGCUAAUACCGCAUAAGAACAUUUACUGCAUGGUAGAUGUUUAAAAGGUGCAAAUGCAUCACUACCAGAUGGACCUGCGUUGUAUUAGCUAGUAGGUGAGGUAACGGCUCACCUAGGCGACGAUACAUAGCCGACCUGAGAGGGUGAUCGGCCACACUGGGACUGAGACACGGCCCAGACUCCUACGGGAGGCAGCAGUAGGGAAUCUUCGGCAAUGGGGGGAACCCUGACCGAGCAACGCCGCGUGAGUGAAGAAGGUUUUCGGAUCGUAAAGCUCUGUUGUUAAGGAAGAACGAGUGUGAGAAUGGAAAGUUCAUACUGUGACGGUACUUAACCAGAAAGGACGGCUAA